AGCAGCCGCGGUAAUUCCAGCUCCAAUAGCGUAUAUUAAAGUUGUUGCAGUUAAAAAGCUCGUAGUUGAAUUUCGGAAUCAAUAUGUCGGUCGUGCUUCGGUACGUACUGGUAUCAUUGGUUUCUCCUUUCUGACGAACCAUGAUGUCAUUAAUUUGGUGUUAUGGGGAGUUAGGACUGUUACUUUGAAAAAAUUAGAGUGUUUAAAGCAGGCUUUAGCUUGAAUACAUUAGCAUGGAAUAAUGAAAUAGGACGUUCGAACCUAUUUUGUUGGUUUCUAGGAUCAACGUAAUGAUUAAUAGGGAUAGUUGGGGGCAUUAGUAUUCAAUUGUCAGAGGUGAAAUUCUUGGAUUUAUUGAAGACUAACUACUGCGAAAGCAUUUGCCAAGGAUGUUUUCAUUAAUCAAGAACGAAAGUUAGGGGAUCGAAGACGAUCAGAUACCGUCGUAGUCUUAACCAUAAACUAUGCCGACUAGGGAUCGGAUGAUGUUAAUUUUUUAAUGACUCAUUCGGCGCCUUACG
rnacentral:rRNA from 1 species